rnacentral:rRNA from 1 species
UACGUGAGUGGCGAGCGUUAUCCGUAAUUAUUGGGCGUAAAGGAUGCGUAGAUGGUAAAAGUAGUUGUAAUCCACUAUAACAGUUUAUUGGGUCGAUUCACAAUACCUUUUUACUAGAGUUUUUUUUAAGAGGGUAACAUUUAUAAACUAGCGAUAAAAUGCUUUAAGUUUAUAAGUAUUUUCAAAUAUGAAAAUAACGUUCUAAUUAAAACUGACAUUGAGGCAUUAAAGUAUGGGGAUCAAAUAGG